UGCUGCUGCUGGUAAUCACUCUGGCAGUACAAGCUUUUUAGGUGAUACAUCGCCAACAAAACAUGCUAAGCUUGCCUAUUCGAUACACAUGCUUAGGCACAAUUGUUAGGACCGGGCUCCGCGCGUCAAGGCGCGCUGCAGCUCUAGUACAACAUGACAGUCAUAAAGUUGCAUUAUUUAGCCACUGGUAGGGUAGGAUAUACCCAAAUGUGGUCAGUAUAGGAACCAGGGUCCCCUAAUUGCUAGCAAAACUUGUGUAAUGAGCUCUUGUUACCUUCUACUAAUGUUUAGUCUUGUUUUUUUAGUACUUCUGUAUUGGUAUCCAGAAAUAAAAUUCAUAUGUUUCUAUAUAUGUUCUUUUAGAUAAGUAUGUCAAUACAUAACUAGUAAUGUAAAUGGUGUGACGCAGUUCUAAAUAAAAAUGCAAAUAGCUUGUGAAUGUCAAUCUCAUGUGAGUCAGUCAAUGAACUUACUAUAUUAGUCUCUUAGACCAAUACAUGCUUUUCUGUAACUUUAGAUAUUUUCCAGAAUAGUUUGCUUGGUCCUUCAUAUCUAAAGCUUGCAUGUACUGUAGAAGCUCUACUUUAUGCUAAUACUUGCUUGUGUAACAUUUUUCAUGGCAUACUUCUAAAUGGACAAGUAUGUGCGACGUCCAGCGUCAACGAUGAUGCGGACCAUAUGUUCAACUGCAGCCCCAUCCAUUGCAUCGACACAAAGAUGUUUUGCAUCAGCCUGUCAUUGCUAAGGGAGAAGCGGGACUUGGAGAAGAAAUCUUUCCAUUAAGCAGAUUACAUGUUUGGUUGCUGUGAAGUACUAGAUAGGCUAGUUCUAUUUUUUUCAUGAUCCUGGAGUAUUUCAGCAGCGCCAUGCAAAUGCAGUAGCGUUAGGUUUUUGAUUCACCUUUUGUAAAAACUUAGUUAACCCGCAGUCAGUCAGUAGUAGCUCAGCCAGCCAGCCAGCCUCAAAUAGUAUUGCUGGAAUGAAUGGUUGUAAUAUAAUAACAUUGCACGUUGCUUUGAAAAUGUAUCAGAACUGGGCUAGGCCCAAGAUAGCUUGUGGUGUGAUGUGUUGUAAUGUCAA